CUUGCUGCCUUUAAUAUUCUUUCAGUAUUUUGAAUGAGAUGAAGUUGGUACCAUUCAAUGCUGACCUUCCUGAGAUGUUUACCAGGUUUGGAUCACCAAGGCCAUCAUCUUGCUGACAUUUCCACCUUCCCUAGGGAACUCUAAGCUCCCCCUAACAUAAGUUCUAGAUUCUUCAUCACACACAGCAACUCUGAAAAACCAAGACAUUUUCCUUGUUCUUCCCUUGUUGAGGCACAUUUCCAAGUGGAAUAUAAGGUUAAAGACCUUCUAUCUUUCAUGGUCAGCAACAUUAAGGAAUUGGAUAUAUGCAUCCCUGUGUACUCAGUAGCAAUAUGGUUUCCAUUCAAUCUCUACAUGCACU